rnacentral:lncRNA from 1 species
AACAAGUCAACAAAAAAUAAUAACCCCUAACUUUUAUCAGGCUUCUAAUCAACAGUCAACAAGUCAGGUUCCAAAACAAGAAAAACACGCAUCCCCCUUCAACUACAUGACCAUUCAACUUGGUCCGGCAGCAGAAAUCUUGACGAGUCUCUGAACUUGAAAGCAUGAGAGCAGUUAACCUCCCCCAAGAACUGCACUGACCUGAACCUGCGGCUGGCAAGGGGUUGCUCAUUCCUGCUUCAAGAUAACCCACGGUCUCCUUACUUAGGUAAAAAAGCAUUCAGCUCCAAACUCAAACUCAAACUCAACUAAAAACCACAUUCUCAAACAAGGGGGGAAGAGAGACUCCCGAACUAGGGGGGAUCAAACUAUACAUCUUCCUUUAAAGACAGCCUCCGAAUCUGAUUUCGCUGAAGCCAUCACAGAGCAACCAAAUUUAGAUGCCCAAAAUAUAUCUUUGGGGAUCUCAACACCAACAGAAGCAAUCAGAUACCUCACACGAACUAGCUGCGCUAAACCACAGUUUCCAAGGAGCAUGAACACCUAGACUCCUCUGAUUCUAAUUUUACAAAUCAAAAGCAUCCUAGAACCAUGUAACAAAUAUAAAACUGAAUGUGCCAGAACAACUUGUUUAGUUAAAAAUAAACCAGGGAGCAUGACACAAUCACAUUUAAAAAGGUGCAUCAAAAUCCAUUGUUGAAUAAAGAAAAAGGAAAGAGCAAAAGAUAUAACAAAAGAGUCAUUAAGGCCUGUUCAAGUCGGUUUGCAAACCACCACAUAACCACCAGAUCCAACUACUGAACUUGAAAAAAUCAUUCAGCAGCCAAAAAAGAAAUCAAACUCACCAGUGUACCAUACUAUGCUCUAUCGCGACACUUUUGCCGCAUAAUCCUUACUUAAAAAGACUAAUUUUUUAGGCUUCCACCUCCUAAGUUGAACCUAUUAAAUCACCACCACCCCUUAUUCAGCCUAUCAAGUAAAAACAUCAAAUAAGAGUUGACAUUAGCUAGAGAAUAACAAAAAACUAAUUUAACUGCACAGAUGAUAGACAGAUACAAGCUUGUUGUACAUGAUCAUUCAUAAAAUCGGUACACCUAGUCUUCAAUAAACACCAUAAAUCCAAACAUCGAACCAAACUAAUAAAAUCAACCCCAAUGGCUCACUUCCCCAACUACAGCACCCUACUUUAACAAAAUCCAAAACAAGAAAUUGCAAAAAAACACCCUAUCAGCAUAUCUCAAAAUUAAAAUGUGUAAAGGGUAUGGGUAAGGGCUAGCAAAAAUGGUCUCCAAAAUUUUCCAUUGCAUUCAAAACAUAAAACUCCCUAACCCCCCUAUAUAGCAAGACAGCAACUCUCAAACAAUCAAUUUUAAAUGCAAUGAUAAUACUCCUUGAGAGAAACCUAAGAGCUCACAAUUUCAAAUCACUUAAUCAUAAAAUUAAACUCAAAAUCCUUAAACUUAACUAUCAACACACUAAUUUAAGUUUAAAAAGGUCAAUAAAAAGCCAUCAAACAAGUCAAUACCCAAUACUAGCAAACACCACCAAUAGCUAACAACUGAACAAUUUCAUAAAUCCACAGUUACAUAGCAGAUCACGACAUCUAAUUUCAGUAACACAUCAUAAACAAAAAAUCAGAGCAACCCUAAAACAACACCUUUAAAAUUACAGCUAGGGUAUUUCCAUUUCAUGGAAGCCGAGACGAAUACAUUCCUAAAAAUGCAAUAAAAUAAAAACAAAACAUCAUGUGAGCAAAUCAAAUAAAACCCAUAAUGCUAACACUAAAAAAAUCAUCACAUAGAGAAA